GGGCUGGAAGCUUUGAGCUGAAGCUAGAGAUUUUUACUCUCUUUAAAAGGUAUCCCUUUCAGUCU
rnacentral:tRNA from 1 species